rnacentral:lncRNA from 1 species
CUCGUUCUGUCGACAAAUUCAUCCCGACACUGUUGUUUACGGGGGCUUGCGGGCGAGCGUGAUGCGCGGCCCAGGCCCCUGCACGCGCACUGACCGCCGUCCACCACGGUGUAAAAUCACGGUCCAUGCGAUUUGGGUUCAUGGUCCACGGCGGUAGCUGGUCUAUAGGUAUUUCUGUAGAUCAGAUGUGAUCGGAUGGUUGAGAUCCGAUCUGGCAUACGAUCAGAUAGUGCAGAUGGCUUGCAGGUGUGAUUUGGGUCUGAUGAAGCUUGAUGGAGCACGAUCAAGCACCCGAGGAGACUUGCGGUGCUGAUCGGACAGCCAUGAAGCAUCUGGAAUCCGAUUAGAAGUAGUUCUCCGAACCAAGAAGGAUUUUUAGAGCUUUAAAGGCCCUGUGGACGAACAGAAUGGUGGGGGGUGUAGUCGAG